CAAAACCAUCAACAACCAUGACAACAAUCAGUCUCCGGAAGGGAAACACACGUCUUCCACCGGAAGUUAACCGCGUCCUCUACGUUCGCAACCUUCCCUUCAACAUAACAAGCGAAGAAAUGUACGAUAUAUUCGGCAAAUACGGUGCUAUUCGUCAGAUCCGAAUCGGAACUAACAAAGACACGCGCGGCACCGCUUUUGUCGUUUACGAAGACAUUUACGACGCUAAAACUGCCGUCGAUCAUCUCUCUGGUUUCAAUGUCGCUAAUCGAUAUCUCAUCGUUCUUUAUUAUCAGCCAAUGUCGCUAUCGAUAUCUCAUCGUUCUUUAUUAUCAGCAUGCUAAGAUGAGUAAGAAGUUUGAUCAGAAGAAGAAGGAAGAUGAAAUUGCUCGUAUGCAGGAGAAGUACGGUGUUACUACUAAAGACAAGUAGUUCAUGAUACGUAAGCGCUUCUUUCGAAAACUCGAUUUAUUUUGCUAAUUUCUAGGGUUUCUUGUGUUAGGGUUUUGUGGUAAUUCACUAUAUAUAACUGUUGAUGGAUGUUUGGAUUCGCAAUUGAAUAGUUUUAUUGAUAUAUCAAUGUAAAGCACGAUUAUGAUGUAUGAUAUUGUUACUUUUCUGCUAGCACUACUUAUUUAAGAAAAAGUGAUUAUUCAAUUUUGAGGACUGGAAUUUAAUUUUUCCUGCAUGAGAUGUUUAUUAGGUUUACUUGAUGCUAAUUUCUUCAAGGGUAAUUAGGUAGUUUCGUUGCUUUGUGAGUUUGUUGUACUAGGAUGUUUGGAUUGUGGAGAUUGCUAAGGGUGAGGUUAUUAAGACAAAUGUUAUAUAAGAGAAUAGAAAUUUACAUAUACACAUUUACAAUUUUUUGAGACAAAAUUAAGAAACAUAAACAAUACAAAAUAUAUAUACAUAACAAAAUAGUAAUCUUUUUUUAUAAAUAAAAUAAAAUAACAAUGAUAGAUUGAAAAAAAUUUACCAUUCAAGUAAUUCGUGUGAACAUAUACUCCAGAAAGUUGCUAGACGCAACACGAACAAAUACAUAGUUUCACCAGGAAUACUCUAUUGCAUAAAGGUCGAUGGAACAAUGUAGGCAAGGGAAGUCGGCAAAAUGGAUCCGUAACCUCGGGAAAAUGAUUGACUUUGACGGCUGGCUAUGGAUUUAAAGAUGUUGUUGUUAGAAAUAGAAAUAUGAAUUUAUUUAAAUAAUAAUUAGUUUUUUCUUGAUUUUGUUUGAAGAUAAUGAUGAAUUUUUUAGAUUUUUAUAAAAAAUAUAUUAUUGACAUUUUAAAAUAUACUUAUUUAAAAUUAAAUAAAUAAUUAAUUAAAAAAUAAAAAUUAUUAUUAAAAUUAAUUUAAAAAAGUGCGAAAGUACUUUGUGGAUAAAAUAAUAAAGACACUUGAGCAAGUCUUCAAUACCAAAGUCUUGCUGGAGAGAAGUUAUAUUGAGUAUUGACUUUGAUUUGACAAUUAAGUUAUAUUUUGAGUGUUUACUUUGAUUUGACAAGUUUUUAUCAGGUUACUUCGCGAGAGAUGUCAUCUUCUCGUAUUUUUUCUCCUUUUUUUUUUCCUUUGAUUUUUAAGAUCCGAAUUUUUUUUUAUUGGACUCGGGUUUUUGGGGUGGCUGGUAGAGUCGCAAUUCAACGCAUAAUUUACUUACCCAUAUCACCCACGCGAAUAACAUAUUAAUUAUUUUUAUUUUUAUUAUUAUUAUUAUUAUUAUAUAAAAAUAUUUGUAUAUAUAUUUAUAUACAACACAAAAGUAUCAAUAAAAAUAUAGAUUUUAUCAUACUAAUAAUAUUUAUAUUACUAAUUUAAAUAUACAAAUAAAAGUUUAAAAAAAUUUAGCUAAAUUAACUAUUUUUAAGUUUUUAGGUGGAAUAAAAAAGUUCCAUAUAUAUAUAUAUAUAUAUAUAUAUAUAUAUAUAUAUAUAUAUAUAUAUAGAGAGAUAAUUAAUUUUUGUUUUGUUUUAAUUCUAUUAAUAUUGUUAAAUCAAAUAAAUAGUUACAUAAAGAUCAAUAUAAUUUUUGGAUAAUUUAAAUUCUUUAAUUUAUUAUUUUUACAAUUUAAUAUUAAGUAACCUUGAAUAUUUUUUUAAUUGUGUUGAAAUAAUAUAGCAUUUUAUUAUUUAACAAUUUAUUUUAAUUAUAAUAUUGGUACAAGGUACGCAAAGGAUUACUAAGUACAUAAAUAAUAAAUAUACGAAGAUUAAGAUUAAUUCUCGUAUAAAUCUGGUGUAUAUGGAGUCAUGUUUUUCAUCAAUAAAUUAGAUUGACCUGUUUUUAAAUUAGAUUUAAGAUUAGAUUUUUUUACUGUAAAUUAUUUUUUUAAUUAAUAAAUUAAUAUAACAAUUUUUUUAUUAAAAUAGUUUCCGUACGAAGCACGGAUUACCUAGUAAUUUAAUAUUAUUUUUUAGAUUUCAAACUUAAUUUUUUAUUUUAAUGAAGACGAUAUAGAGUUAAUUGGCGAUACUUAAAUCCAACUUUUCCAAUUUAAAAGUUCAUCUCCAUACGAGAUUUGUAGGCCCAACCCAAAGCCCAACCCAACAUGAUCUAUAUACAUAAAAGCUCAAACAAUUAAACUGAUUCUUUUCACUUUCUCGCAAGUUCGGAAACCUUUCCUUCACUUUCUCAUCAUCCAAACACCAAAACCAUCAACAACCAUGACAACAAUCAGUCUCCGGAAGGGAAACACACGUCUUCCACCGGAAGUUAACCGCGUCCUCUACGUUCGCAACCUUCCCUUCAACAUAACAAGCGAAGAAAUGUACGAUAUAUUCGGCAAAUACGGUGCUAUUCGUCAGAUCCGAAUCGGAACUAACAAAGACACGCGCGGCACCGCUUUUGUCGUUUACGAAGACAUUUACGACGCUAAAACUGCCGUCGAU
rnacentral:lncRNA from 1 species